GACGAACGCUGGCGGCGUGCUUAACACAUGCAAGUCGAACGGAAAGGCCUCUUUCGGGGGGUACUCGAGUGGCGAACGGGUGAGUAACACGUGAGUAGCCUGCCCUUGACUUUGGGAUAACUUCAGGAAACUGGGGCUAAUACCGGAUAGGAGCUCCUGCUGCAUGGUGGGGGUUGGAAAGUUUCGGCGGUUGGGGAUGGACUCGCGGCUUAUCAGCUUGUUGGUGGGGUAGUGGCUUACCAAGGCUUUGACGGGUAGCCGGCCUGAGAGGGUGACCGGCCACAUUGGGACUGAGAUACGGCCCAGACUCCUACGGGAGGCAGCAGUGGGGAAUAUUGCACAAUGGGUGGAAGCCUGAUGCAGCAACGCCGUGUGCGGGAUGACGGCCUUCGGGUUGUAAACCGCUUUCGCUCAUGACGAAGCUUUAUGUGACGGUAGUGGGUAAAGAAGCACCGGCUAACUACGUG
rnacentral:rRNA from 1 species